GAUGAACGCUGACAGAAUGCUUAACACAUGCAAGUCGACUUGAACUUCGGUUUGGGUGGCGGACGGGUGAGUAACGCGUAAAGAACUUGCCUCACAGAUAGGGACAACAUUUGGAAACGAAUGCUAAUACCUGAUAUUAUGAUUAUAUGGCAUCGUAUAAUUAUGAAAGCUAUAUGCGCUGUGAGAGAGCUUUGCGUCCCAUUAGCUAGUUGGAGAGGUAACGGCUCACCAAGGCGAUGAUGGGUAGCCGGCCUGAGAGGGUGAUCGGCCACAAGGGGACUGAGACACGGCCCGUACUCCUACGGGAGGCAGCGGUGGGGAAUAUUGGACAAUGGACCAAGAGUCUGAUCCAGCAAUUCUGUGUGCACGAUGAAGUUUUUCGGAAUGUAAAGUGCUUUCAGUUGAGAAGAAAAAAAUGACGGUACCAACAGAAGAAGUGACGGCUAAAUACGUG
rnacentral:rRNA from 1 species